AGAGUUUGAUCCUGGCUCAGAUUGAACGCUGGCGGCAUGCCUUACACAUGCAAGUCGGACGGCAGCGCGGGAGCAAUCCUGGCGGCGAGUGGCGAACGGGUGAGUAAUACAUCGGAACGUGUCCUGGAGUGGGGGGAUAGCCCGGCGAAAGCCGGAUUAAUACCGCAUACGCUCUGUGGAGGAAAGCGGGGGACCUUCGGGCCUCGCGCUCAAGGGGCGGCCGAUGGCGGAUUAGCUAGUUGGUGGGGUAAAGGCCUACCAAGGCGACGAUCCGUAGCUGGUCUGAGAGGACGACCAGCCACACUGGGACUGAGACACGGCCCAGACUCCUACGGGAGGCAGCAGUGGGGAAUUUUGGACAAUGAGGGCAACCCUGAUCCAGCAAUGCCGCGUGUGUGAAGAAGGCCUUCGGGUUGUAAAGCACUUUUGUCCGGAAAGAAAUCAUCCUGUCGAAUAAACGGGGUGGAUGACGGUACCGGAAGAAUAAGCACCGGCUAACUACGUGCCAGCAGCCGCGGUAAUACGUAGGGUGCGAGCGUUAAUCGGAAUUACUGGGCGUAAAGCGUGCGCAGGCGGUGAUGUAAGACCGAUGUGAAAUCCCCGGGCUUAACCUGGGAACUGCAUUGGUGACUGCAUCGCUGGAGUAUGGCAGAGGGGGGUGGAAUUCCACGUGUAGCAGUGAAAUGCGUAGAGAUGUGGAGGAACACCGGUGGCGAAGGCAGCCCCCUGGGCCAAUACUGACGCUCAUGCACGAAAGCGUGGGGAGCAAACAGGAUUAGAUACCCCCGUAGUCC
rnacentral:rRNA from 1 species